rnacentral:rRNA from 1 species
UGGGGAAUUUUCCGCAAUGGGCGAUAGCCUGACGGAGCAAUGCCGCGUGGAGCUGGAAGGCCUACGGGUCGUCAACUUCUUUUCUCGGAGAAGAAACAAUGACGGUAUCUGAGGAAUAAGCAUCGGCUAACUCUGUGCCAG